rnacentral:misc_RNA from 1 species
AAGUCGUAACAAGGUUUCCGUAGGUGAACCUGCGGAAGGAUCAUUAACACGUAUCCAAACGUUAAAACCCCCCCCGUGAACCUUCAUCCUGCUCUUGUAACCCGCGUAGUUCGCAAUCUCUGAUAAAUCAUAGCCCGGAAAGUUGUAGUGAUUCAGAGACCUCUGGCUACGUGCGAACAUUGGAACAGUUACACUCGAAAAGUGUCAUUGAUUGUGCAAGGAUAGCGCUUCUACGAUUCCUGUAGACCGUACACUCGGGCAGGAGCUUUGCCAAAGGGUCCCCAUGCCCACAAAUAACCCCACAGUUUAAUGUGAAGCUCAAUGUAAUACAUUGGGUAAAAAAACCGAACAACUGUUAACAAUGGAUAUCUUGGUUCUC